rnacentral:rRNA from 1 species
CAGGCCUAACACAUGCAAGUCGAACGGUAGCACAGAGAGCUUGCUCUCGGGUGACGAGUGGCGGACGGGUGAGUAAUGUCUGGGAAACUGCCUGAUGGAGGGGGAUAACUACUGGAAACGGUAGCUAAUACCGCAUAACGUCGCAAGACCAAAGAGGGGGACCUUCGGGCCUCUUGCCAUCAGAUGUGCCCAGAUGGGAUUAGCUAGUAGGUGGGGUAAUGGCUCACCUAGGCGACGAUCCCUAGCUGGUCUGACAGGAUGACCAGCCACACUGGAACUGAGACACGGUCCAGACUCCUACGGGAGGCAGCAGUGGGGAAUAUUGCACAAUGGGCGCAAGCCUGAUGCAGCCAUGCCGCGUGUAUGAAGAAGGCCUUCGGGUUGUAAAGUACUUCCAGCG